UCAGGUUACAGACCAUGUAGCUAGGACCCCUAGACAUAAUGAGUCAGGUUACAGACCAUGUAGCUAGGACCCCUAGACAUAAUGAGUCAGGUUACAGACCAUGUAGCUAGGACCCCUAGACAUAAUGAGUCAGGUUACAGACCAUGUAGCUAGGACCCCUAGACAUAAUGAGUCAGGUUACAUGUAGCUAGGACCCCUAGACAUAAUGAGUCAGGUUACAGACCAUGUAGCUAGGACCCCUAGACAUAAUGAGUCAGGUUACAUGUAGCUAGGACCCCUAGACAUAAUGAGUCAGGUUACAUGUAGCUAGGACCCCUAGACAUAAUGAGUCAGGUUACAGACCAUGUAGCUAGGACCCCUAGACAUAAUGAGUUAAGCCAUUUCAUAACUAUUGAAUUAUAACACUAACUAGGUGUGUGUGUGUGUGUGUGUGUGUGU